rnacentral:rRNA from 1 species
AACGAACGCUGGCGGCAUGCCUAACACAUGCAAGUCGAACGCUAUCUUUGAUAGAGUGGCGCACGGGUGAGUAACGCGUGGGAACCUGCCUUUCACUGCGGGACAACGGUUGGAAACGACCGCUAAUACCGCAUACGCCCUAAGGGGGAAAGAUUUAUCGGUGAAAGAGGGGCCCGCGUCUGAUUAGCUUGUUGGUAGGGUAAUGGCCUACCAAGGCGACGAUCGGUAGCUGGUCUGAGAGGAUGAUCAGCCACACUGGGACUGAGACACGGCCCAGACUCCUACGGGAGGCAGCAGUGGGGAAUAUUGGACAAUGGGGGCAACCCUGAUCCAGCAAUGCCGCGUGUGUGAUGAAGGCCUUAGGGUUGUAAAGCACUUUCACUGGUGAAGAUGAUGACGGUAACCAGAGAAGAAGCCCCGGCUAACUUCGUGCCAGCAGCCGCGGUAAUACGAAGGGGGCGAGCGUUGUUCGGAAUUACUGGGCGUAAAGGGCGCGUAGGCGGUCUUUUAAGUUAGGCGUGAAAGCCCCGGGCUCAACCUGGGAACUGCGCUUAAAACUGGAAGACUAGAAAACGGAAGAGGGUAGUGGAAUUCCCAGUGUAGAGGUGA